rnacentral:rRNA from 1 species
UUAACUUAAAGGAUUGACGGAAGGGCACCACCAGGGGUGGAGCCUGCGGCUUAAUUUGACUCAACACGGGGAAACUCACCAGGUCCAGACACGAUGAGGAUUGACAGAUUGAGAGCUCUUUCUUGAUUUCGUGGGUGGUGGUGCAUGGCCGUUCUUAGUUGGUGGAGUGAUUUGUCUGCUUAAUUGCGAUAACGAACGAGACCUUAACCUGCUAAAUAGCCCGCAUUGCUUUGGCAGUGCGCCGGCUUCUUAGAGGGACUAUCGGCUCAAGCCGAUGGAAGUUUGAGGCAAUAACAGGUCUGUGAUGCA